UUUAUUAUUUAUUAUUUAUUAUUUAUUAUUUAUUAUUUAUUAUUUAUUAUUUAUUAUUUAUUUAUACAUGUUCCUUUGUUUUUCUGCACUCAUAUAAAAUGGAAGUGGCCUUAGGCCAUGACUUGUUGGUAUAAUUCAUUUACGUCAAGCUUUGUGCUGGUCAAACUAUCAGCUUUCUUGGGAGCAUCAUUUUAGAUUACUUUAUACUCUAUUUGCAGUUGUGAUCAGGAGGUUAUGUUUCUAAUGCUCGAAUAAUCUAAUGCUGAAUUGUUGAUUAUUAAUGUUGGAGAAUUUUUCAAACUGCUGCUUCUUGAUGUUGAAUCAUUGGUGUUCGGUAGUUCUGCUCUUCUUGUAAUUGAUGAUUGUUGCAGUUCAGGGGUAUUGGCUGAAAUGAUGGCGGCAAAUACUAGUUACUUUGAUAAGUACUCUUUCCCUGGGCAGGAUGUUAGUUUACCUUCAAUUCUGUUUAGUUUCAACCAAACCUGCUUUAAUUUCUUGUUUUAUUCCUAGAUAGCAAAUUGGUGGAUGAGCAAUUUUGAUGUAGCCAAACAAUCCCUUUUGCUUCUUUUGCAAGUAGAUUGAGUCUGCUGGAAAGAGUUGGAAAUAGGUUCUUUGUAUAUCAUAUUGAUCUAUUGAGCUGUUUGAUUAAGUUAAGCGGUUCUUUUCAUUUUGCUGUUUGACUUAAUGUGCUGCUUGAAGUCACAAAUUUUUGCAGAGGCUUUCUUAUCCUGCUGCUUUCAUGUUGGCCUUGCAGAGCUGUCUCUUGCUUCUAUGUUGAUUGGCAAUUUGUGAGGCAACUUUGGGAGUUUAUGAAAUAGUAUGGCGGAUGGCUGUGUUCUACAUGUCUACCUCUACAAUUUUGUGAUUAUGAACAUACAGCUCUGUUUUCAUUGAACUUGUUCCUUAUCACUAGGUGCAUGUGAGUGAUGUGAUGCUGCCUGCAUCAGGGAUUUAUAUUUUGUUCUGCGGCUUACCUGCUUGAGGAAGAUUAAGUUCGGCUACUGUGUAUUCCCGAGCUCUGCUUUGAAUCUUUGAUGCUUUGACAUUGACAUUGGAUUCACUUGUUAAGAGGCCUGAUGGUGAUUGUUUUGGGGUCCAACUGUUUUAAUUUUAGGCACUAUAUCAUGUGGUGAGGUCAGUGGUUGGUAUGUGCUAUGAUUACGUGUUCAUGAAUGUUAUUUUCUGGUUUGAAGGCCUGUCCUGUAUUGGCGGUAGUAGGCAUGUGACAUGUUUAGUUUUGGCGCUAGUUAAAAAGAUCUCUUGAAUUACAUUAUCCUCUACUUUAGGUUCAUUCUUAUUGUAUCCAUCUCUAUGUGGGAGUUGCAAGGUAUGACCAGCAAAUAAGUUUUAAGCUUUAUCGUAUUACAAAUGGAUUCUUUCAAGAUGGUUCAACUUGGUUACAGAUAAUGUUCUAGAAUUUGUUAAAAAGAUGAAUGGAAUACAACCCCCAAACUUUGCGUUCUACAGUAUGAAUAGUUCUUGAGCUUUGUGAGCUACAUGUUCAUGGUUAAAUUUUGCUAUAAAUGUACCUAUUUAUUUUUUUCAUCAAAAUCUAAUUGGCUCAUUCUUUAUUUUUCCUCCCACUGAUUAUUGUGGAAUUUAUGUUUGUGGCUCACGCUAAUUUUUUUUUGAUGGGUUAGUAGUCUUAGAUUGGUUAUGCACCUAAUUACAUGGUAGUUGGCUGGUUGCAGCAGACUGGGAUUCGAGUAAUCUGUGGUUAAAGUUUCUGGCAGGCUCCACUUAACACUCUUCUGUAGAUUUUAUGGUGUGAUACAUGUUCAUGGUUAACUUUUGCUAUAAAUGUAACUAUUUAUUUUUUUCAUCAAAAUCUAAUUGGCUCAUUCUUUAUUUUUCCUCCCUCUGAUUAUUGUGGAAUUUAUGUUUGUGGCUUGCGCUAAAUUUUUUUUGAUGGAUUAGUAGUCUUGGAUUGGUUUUGCACCUAAUUUCCACGGUAGUUGGCUGGUUGCUGCAGACUGGGAUUCGAGAAAUUUGUGGUUAAAGUUUCUGGCAGGCUCCACUUGACACUUUUCUGCAGAUUUUAUGGGGUGAUACAAAUAGAAUCUCUGUGGUUUCUUGGAAUUUCUUAGCCUGUAGAGCUUCUGUCUACAUCAUUUAGAAUAUUUUAUAAAGGAAAUAUGCUGUUAGGUGUAUCUAGUGAUUCCACAUCAACAUUGACUUGACACUUUUGCGUUGGACUCGACUGAUUAAGCUGUUAGGUGUAUCUAGUGGUUUUCACAUCGACAUUAUGGACUUUAUGAGCUGGUUAAUCUGGUAUCUUCAUUUUUGUUUUGAUGCAGCCAAUUCACUUGUAUCUUGUAGAUUUCUGUGUUUCUAUUUAAUUAAAAUAUUAUCUUGUAAUCUGGUAUCUUCAUAUCUAGCUGUUGAUUUUAUGAUAAGACAGGUCUGUUUAGAAAAAUUACAUGAGAUGGUGCCAAUGACUUUCUUGGCUUUAUUACAUUUAUUUCCAUUGCUUAAUGGUCUGGUUUCCAUUUCUAUGGUCUUCUUGAUCAUAUGAUAUAGCUGAUGUUGGGAGUAUUUUUAUGGUGAUAAUGACUUUUAGUUAUUGCUGUGUCCUCUUAUGUCUCUGCUCUCCUCAAUCUUCUGUUCUUCAUAGUUGCCAUAUUUACGUUGAUUGGUUUUCCCUAUGGUUUUUUUUUUCUAAAUGGAAUCAUCUGUACUGGGUCUGUGUUCCACACCACAUAGUUUCAGAUUCAAUUUUCUAUUGCUUUUUCCGUUGACGUGACAUUUUAUGAAUGGCAUGAUGGUGAAAUAUGAGGGCUCUACUCCAUAUAGGGUGUCAUUUAUACAAAUUGCAGUUUAUUUGAUUGUUUUUUUAUUUGAACUUUCUUUACUUACAUUUAGUUUGCUGGGGUGGUCAAUUAACACCACCUUGAUUGUGUGAUAGAAAGAUGCUUAGUAAUUAUUUGCUUACAAUUUGCUCCCACUGAUGGAGUUGGGCUGCUCUUCUCUUUAUCUAUCACGGUCUAUGUUUCUAUCUUCUUUUUUAAUCUAUAUUGCAUCUGCUUCAAGGAAAGUUCAGGUCCUCGUCAAUUGUUAACAGGACUCUCCAGCCUUAAGAAUAUGUGGUCUGGUAAUGUUAGUGAGUUUUAGGGUUGCCUUGAUCAUGGAUAUUUUGCUUAUUGUAUUUUGAGCUCUAAUUUGCGAAUUUGUCCUUGAUUAUACUGUCAAUAUGUCAUUUGUGAUUAUGGGGUGGCAAGUUGUGCUAAGUUCAUCUCUAUCCUAUCUUCUGAAAUUUUACCUUUUCUUGUUUCUGCUGCCCAAGCAUCUUCUCGCGCUGUACUUUAUUAAGCAUGCAUUUUUGCUUCAGCCUUCAGGUUCAUGCUUCAUCUUAUGAUUUUAUAGGUUCAGGUUCAGGUUUUUUAUUUUAUUUUUUUUGGUACUUGGCUUAAUGCCUGUAGCUUUGAUGAUCUGUGGUACUGACAUUGCUUUGGCAUCGCAUUGGGAUUUCAUGAAAUUGAAGGUUGGAGUUCUUCUGAGCUCUAUCGUGAAUGCAUCCUGACAGUGUCAACUAGUUUGCAGCGCGACAUUACGUGUAACAUAGCCCCUUUCUUGUCAUUUAAAUAAUCUAGUGAGUUUCUAAUCCUUUACUUGGAUUUGUUUCUCGCCAGCUUCUUUUGGUGUUACAGUGGUUGGAGUUCUCAAUGGCUUGCAUCAUUCUUUUGGUGCGUGCUUGUAGAUUAUGGUUUCUUGAACUCAGGUUAAUGGGUUUUGCCUAUCGUUGUGCUGAUGACUGCUUGGAUUUGCUCUUCUAAGGAGCUUGCACAUUUCGGGUUUAUGUUGCUCUAGUUUUUGACUAUUUGGUGUAACGCUGUGACUACUGGAUAUUCACAUUCGAUGAUGAUAUUUUUAUGUUCAAUUAAUCUUACGGCCUUGGUGAUAUCAGGGUCAUGUUCUAUUGGAUUGGGUUUAAAUUUGUUGGGAAGUUUUAGGUGAAGGUGGAUCCUCAGGUUGUUGCAAUCAUGCAUUUUGGGAAGAUGUGAUGGAUACAUAUUAAGAAUUUUGUACAUGAAAGGUUUACUUCUCUAUUAUUUUCAGUUGGGGGAAAGUAAAAUGACUUGGGGUAUUGGUUUGUUUAUGUUGAUGUGAAUCUGUGAUAUGAAGAUUUUUGCAGCUCGAAGGAGGAAAAGCACGGAGUUCUGCUUCUGGUUUUAUGUUGGAUUUGUCUGCUGUCCCCGUAUUGUCGUCAUUGUGCAUGCUAUUGUUUUAGUUACUUCUGUAAUGGUGUGUUUGUAGGCAUGAAGCGCUGGCUUUUGCUUUUGCUUUUCAUUUGGAAGUUGAUUUAUGAUUGAACCAGGGAUGUCUGCUGAAAAGGGAGGAUUUUCUGGUAAACUUUCUCUGAAGAUCUAAAUUUGUAUGGGUGGCCUGUUUAUUUGUUCAGACUCCCCUUUGAUAUGAAGUAUGUAUGCCUAAGGUGUUGCACUUUAUGAAAAUGGUGGAUCUUGCAGUGGUUUUUUUUGGAUUGAGUUAAUGGGAUCUGUAUGCACUAAAACUUUUUCAUUGGUCUACUAUGAAGUCUGGGUUUGAGUUGACACUUGAAAGACAGUUGCUUUUCUCCUUACUACAUCGACUUUGCUAGGUGGAUAUGCAUUUGCUAAUGCUCGUUGGAUGAUGCUGCAUGGAUGUUGAUUGUGAUUUAAGUAUUGUGGACUCGGUUUUUGUGCAUUUCUUUAGAUUGUGUUGAUCUUGUGGGUUGUCGAACACUUGUUGCUAGCUUUAAUAAGAUGGUGGAUUUAACUCACAUAAGAAUAUGUUUGUUCACCAUCUGUUGUAGUUUAUUUAUUUUUAUUUUUUUUUCCCUUCUUAGCUAGUAACUUCUUGGGCAUGAAGCUAAUACUUAGUAUUGUAUAGUUUUCUAUGAGAAUAUUUUUUGUAAAAAUUAUUAAAUUGUGAGUUUGUACUGUUUUGUGAUAUUGAUAGUAGUAUGAUUGCUGAAUGAUUUCUGUUUCACAGUUUUUUUUUUUUUUCCUUUUUCCUUCUGGGUGUCUUCAUGUCUAUAUUGUGGAUUUAGGGAAAAAAAAAAAUUUUAACUCCGCCAGUGAGAUGCUCAUUGCCAGUCCCAAGCCUGGAUAAAGGAGGAGGGUUGCAAUAGGCUGCUUUGUUGUAUAAAUUUAUUUAUUUUUCUUAAUGAUGUGGUAUUAUCUUUACAUGGCAGUAUUAAUGCCAACUUUCCUUCUCAUUCUUAAAUUUCAUUUGUUGUUGGUUUUGCAAUGCUAAAAGUGGAAAUUAUGUAUGUAUUUUUGUUGAUUGUAUGUUGAUUACAAUUGUUAUUUUUUUUUUAUUUUUUUUUUAUUUUUUUUUUCUCUAUGGAAGCAGAAUGGAACUCUGCUAGAAGAUUGAUGUGUAUGUUUAGGAUUAUUGGUAUGAUAUCAGCAAGUGAAUUUGAUGAAACAUUAUUGGUGAAUUGGGUUGCCAUAAUGGCCUUAGAGCCUUUAAUUAUUAUUUUUUGCCUUACAAAAUUAAGUUGAUGCAUGAGGAAAUGUGUUUGCUGCUAGCCAUUGCUCUUAUAAGAGAGGUUACCUGUCACUAGUUAAUCCAAAUAUUAAGAUUCUUUUCAUGCUUUGGUUUUCUCAAGGGUAGGCCUUGCAGCUGUUAUGAUAUGGGAGUAGAUGAACAAUGAAUACUGCUCUGCAUGUUCAGGCUUUUCUGUUAGUAUGUGUCCUUCGAUUUUUCUUCCGCUGUAAAUGCAACUACUUGUCCAUUGAUAUGUGCACACCCUUGUGUCGAGCCUUUUCUAUGCCUGUGGAACUGUUCCUGUACCCAGAGAUCCUAUGUUUGUAUCCAACGUUGUUGUGUUGCCAGGUUUCGGGUCGCAUUGGGUAAGUGAAAUAAAUUGAUGCUAAUAACAAACGAUGGUUGUUAGAAGUCCAAAAUAAAUACUUAGUAUUACUAUUGUUUAUAUUAUUUAAUAAUAUUUUAAGCAUUUUGUUGUAACUGCACUUAGUUUGCUAAUUAUUGCUUUUACAUUUGAACUGCUAAGAUUGAUUACUCUAGGCCUCAAGGCUGUCGCCUAUAUUGGAUUGUUUACUUGUUUUGGAUUUAACGCUAAUAGAUAUUACUAAAGUCCAGUAUAUAUAUACAUAUAUGUUGAGAGAGGGAGAGAGAUAUAAGGCUUUUAAAAAAUAUGGGGUUCCGAUUUUGAACUAAAAGACAUUCCUAGGCUUGUUUAUAAGCCUUCAUUUUUUCAGGCGGGUUGAAUCAAGCAGAUGGGUUUGGCUAUAAAUGAUCACAUCCAUGUAUCAUGUAAUAACAACAUAACUUAAAUGAAAAUAUAUACUCCGUAGUAUUUUUGUUUUGAAUUGUUUGUAACUUUAGAGGCAGCGUGGACUCCUAAGCAAAAAUUGAGAAAUGUGGACUAUAAAUGUGUGGGGAUGUAAUUAAGGGAAAAGAGAGAAAAGGUGGAUAAUUAAUGUAAUACAAGUAUCACAUAGGGCAUUAACUUCCACACGACCACUACUUACAUAGUUGUCACUACUGGUGACACAUUUUCAUCAUUUAAACCUCCCGAAAACCACCUAAAUUAUCCAAAAUCUUGUCAUUGGCGCUCCAAAUAUCCACCCCAUUACAGUAUUCAUUUAAUGAUUAUUACUAUAAACUAUCAAUUACACUUGGCAGAUAAACAAUGUGGGACCAAAUAAAGGGUUCAGACCCUUGUCGCAGUUCACUAAUGAAGAUAUCAAGCAGGACAAUGGAAGAACAUUAGUGCAGCAGUUCAUGACUUGAAGGACAGAUUAAGGUCUCCAAAGCCAAAGCCUGUUCAACAUGCCCCUACUAUUUCUUCAGUCCCCAUGCAGCAGGUCAUGUGAAGAAUACUAUCUUGAAAUGUGAAUAUGUUGGGCAUCAAAGAAUGGAAUUUUGAAUUAGAUGUUAUCAAAAUGGUUUUUGUAGAUUUAUAACAGGAGGGUCAAGUGCUUUAGGUCUUUAGUUAGCUAUAAAUGUGUUAGCUUCUAUUUGGCUUAUUUUUACAAUAUUGUUAGCUUUAGGUGCUUCAGGUAUUUUGUUAUUUUUUCAUUUUUUUUGGAAUUUUAAUAAUUAUUAAAUGUUGAAUUGUAUUUGUUGUAAUAAAAUAGUUAAAUACAGGAUUUGGUGAAGAUAUUCAAGAGAUGACUCCAAAGUCUAAAUGCUCUAGUUUUUGGAAAUUGAAUGGCAGAUUUGUGGGUUGUGCUUAUGCAAAAUGUUGUUUUACCUAUUUGGCUUAUUUUGACAAUUUUAGACUAUAAUUUUAGGUAUUUAUUCUU